GAAUGCUGACAUAAGUAACGAUAAUGCGGGUGAAAAACCCGCACGCCGGAAGACCAAGGGUUCCUGUCCAACGUUAAUCGGGGCAGGGUGAGUCGACCCCUAAGGCGAGGCUGAAAAGCGUAGUCGAUGGGCAACGGGUUAAUAUUCCCGUACUGGUGGUAACUGCGAAGGGGGGACGGAGAAAGCUAAAUCAUCCGGGCGACGGUUGUCCCGGUUUAAGCGUGCAGGUGGACUGACCAGGCAAAUCCGGUCGGUUGUUAACACUGAGGCGUGACGACGAGCCACUACGGUGGUGAAGUGAUUGAUGCUCUGCUUCCGGGAAAAGCCUCUAAGCUCCAGGUUACCAUUAAUCGUACCCCAAACCGACACAGGUGGUCAGGUAGAGAAUACUCAGGCGCUUGAGAGAACUCGGGUGAAGGAACUAGGCAAAAUGGUGCCGUAACUUCGGGAGAAGGCACGCUGGCAUUAGGUGAAGUGAUUUACUCAUGGAGCUGAAGCCAGCCGCAGAUACCAGCUGGCUGCAACUGUUUAUUAAAAACACAGCACUGUGCAAACACGAAAGUGGACGUAUACGGUGUGACGCCUGCCCGGUGCCGGAAGGUUAAUUGAUGAGGUUAGCGUA
rnacentral:rRNA from 1 species